UUUUCUUUUUCUUUUUUUCUGCUCCUCUGUGCCUAGCUCUAACAGGGUCAUCUGACAGGGCACACAUACUGCGGUUUCCCUCUCAGUUUAGGAGGCCUGUCCUAGGGGUUGGACUGGCUCUUAAAGGCACAAGAGAACAAU
ensembl:scaRNA